rnacentral:rRNA from 1 species
CCCUUAGAUGUUCUGGGCCGCACGCGCGCUACACUGAUGCAUUCAACGAGCCUAUCCUUGACCGACAGGUCCGGGUAAUCUUUGAAUCUGCAUCGUGACGGGGAUAGAUUAUUGCAAUUAUUAAUCUUCAACGAGGAAUGCCUAGUAGGCGCAAGUCAUCAGCUUGCAUUGAUUACGUCCCUGCCCUUUGUACACACCGCCCGUCGCUCCUACCGAUUGAAUGAUCCGAUGAAUAUCAUGGAUUGAGGAUGCAAGCAGGUUCGCCUGUCUUCAUCUUCGAGAAGUGAAGUAAAUCUUAUCAUUUAGAGGAAGGAGAAGUCGUAACA